AUGACUAGGGAUAACCUUAGGAAGAGACACAUCAUCAAACCCCUUGAUUGUGUUUACUGCUUGGAACAAGAGUCUUGUUCUCACCUAUUUUUUGAAUGUAUAGUUGCUAAACAUCUCUACGGCCACAUUGAGGAAUAUUUCUCUAGUCAGAUUGGCUCAUCCUUCGAAUCUGUCGCCAGAUUCUGGAUUGCUACCAAAAAGUGCUCAGUUUUAAACACUGUUAGCUCAGCUAUCCUUUGGUGCCUCUGGAAAUAUAGAAAUGCUAUGAUUUUCAGUAACACCUCCUGGAUUUCCAUUCCGCAGGUCUUGAGGUUGAUCAGGAACAUAGUGAGGAACUCGGCGAUUCUCUCCUCCGGAUCGGACAAGGAAAAGUUGAUGAGCUUCGUGGAAACCCUAACAAGAUCCCUCCAGAAACCGUUGGCGAUCACUUGUGGCUGA
rnacentral:rRNA from 1 species